CUGGUUAUAUAAGGGAGGUCCUGUGACCGGCUCGCUCUUUUGCAUUCACCUCGCCUUCCUUCUAGCAUAUCCGUUCCCAUGCGUCAUCAUCAUCUGAUGUCACCCCGCCUCGGGAUCUCAGGGUUAUUGCUGUGUGUGAUGAGCGUGAUCCAAAGGUACAGAAUGGAUCUUGAAGGAAAGGGCCCUUGCUGGGCCUCCAAAGGAACCUCGUGUAGACAUCGAGAACCUUUGGCCUCCUGACCUCUAGGGUUUACUGUUGGCAGACAGCAAGAUAAAUCCAGGAUUGUGGAAAUGAAGUGCACAGUUCUCUAAGUGCCCAUGCCCACAUGGCUGAAUGGACAGAGAAUCCGGAUAAUGGAGGAGAUCGACCAUGUUGAUCUAACUAAACUAUUUGCCAGUUUUUGUCUGAUGCAUUGGCCCAAGAACUUCUAGCCCAGUUUUCAAGACCAUGUUUCUAUAUGUCAGGAACCUUGUGUGUGCCAUUGGUCAGAAAGAAUUUUAGUCGGAACUUCCUCUUGGCUUGGUUCAGUCUGUCCGGUAGCAGUUUCUGGCCUGGCCCAUGGAGGUGAAAUACAAGGCCUCUUGGGAAAGACUGAUCAUGUAUUUUCCUGAUAAAGCAUAAUAAAAUUUGUAGGCUUCCUAUCUGAAAAAGGAAAAUAAAAAGUUUCUAAAAUCAAAA